UCCUAUGAUGGCAUGUAAUCUUUGAGACCUGAUUAUUUUCACUGGAUGACAACUACCAAGCAUAAUUGCUGAGGAC